rnacentral:rRNA from 1 species
GGUGCCCGUACCGCAAACCGACACAGGUAGGUAGGAAGAAGAUUCUAAGGCCAACGGGAGAAGGGUUGUUAAGGAACUCGGCAAAUUGACCCCGUAACUUCGGGAGAAGGGGUGCUCCAGAGAUGGAGCCGCAGAGAAUCGGCCCAAGCAACUGUUUACCAAAAACACAGGUUUGUGCUAAAUCGAAAGAUGACGUAUACGAGCUGACGCCUGCCCGGUGCUGGAAGGUUAAGAGGAGAUGUGCAAGCAUUGAAUCGAAGCCCCAGUGAACGGCGGCCGUAACUAUAACGGUCCUAAGGUAGCGAAAUUCCUUGUCAGGUAAGUUCUGACCCGCAUGAAAGGCGUAAUGAUUUGGGCACUGUCUCAACAGCCCGCCCGGCGAAAUUGUAGUACCGGUGAAGAUGCCGGUUACCCGCGACAAGACGGAAAGACCCCAUGGAGCUUUACUGUAGCCUAAUAUUGGGUUUCGAUGUUGCAUGCACAGGAUAGAUGGGACACUGGGAAGCAGGUGCUUUGGCGUUUGUGGAGUGGCCGUUGGGAUACCAUCCUUGCGAUAUUGGAAUUCUAACCUGCGCCUUUGAAUCAAGGCGGGGGACAUUGUUAGGUGGGCAGUUUGACUGGGGCGGUCGCCUCCUAAAGAGUAACGGAGGCGUUCAAAGGUUCGCUCAGCUUGAACGGAAAUCAAGCAAAAGAGUGCAAACGCAGAAGCGAGCCUAACUGCGAGACUGACGGGUCGAGCAGUAACGAAAGUUGGAGUUAGUGAUCCGGUGGUAUGUGAGUGGAAAUGCCAUCGCUCAACGGAUAAAAGUUACCCUGGGGAUAACAGGCUGAUCUCCCCCAAGAGUCCACAUCGACGGGGAGGUUUGGCACCUCGAUGUCGGCUCAUCGCAUCCUGGGGCUGUAUUCGGUCCCAAGGGUUUGGCUGUUCGCCAAUUAAAGCGGUACGCGAGCUGGGUUCAGAACGUCGUGAGACAGUUCGGUCCCUAU